rnacentral:rRNA from 1 species
UACGUAGGGACCGAGCGUUGUCCGGAAUCAUUGGGCGUAAAGAGCUCGUAGGCGGUUUGUCGCGUCUGCUGUGAAAAUCCGAGGCUCAACCUCGGACUUGCAGUGGGUACGGGCAGACUAGAGUGUGGUAGGGGAGACUGGAAUUCCUGGUGUAGCGGUGGAAUGCGCAGAUAUCAGGAGGAACACCGAUGGCGAAGGCAGGUCUCUGGGCCAUUACUGACACUGAGAAGCGAAAGCAUGGGGAGCGAACAGG